GUGGGGAAUUUUGGACAAUGGGCGCAAGCCUGAUCCAGCAAUGCCGCGUGCAGGAAGAAGGCCUUCGGGUUGUAAACUGCUUUUGUACGGAACGAAACGGUCCUGGCUAAUAUCCGGGGCUAAUGACGGUACCGUAAGAAUAAGCACCGGCUAACUACGUGCCAGCAGCCGCGGUAAUACGUAGGGUGCGAGCGUUAAUCGGAAUUACUGGGCGUAAAGCGUGCGCAGGCGGUGCUGUAAGACAGGCGUGAAAUCCCCGGGCUCAACCUGGGAAUUGCGCUUGUGACUGCAGUGCUGGAGUGCGGCGGAGGGGGAUGGAAUUCCGCGUGUAGCAGUGAAAUGCGUAGAUAUGCGGAGGAACACCGAUGGCGAAGGCAAUCCCCUGGGCCUGCACUGACGCUCAUGCACGAAAGCGUGGGGAGCAAACAGGAUUAGAUACCCCAGUAGUCC
rnacentral:rRNA from 1 species